GUCUAUGGCCAAACCACCUUGAACAUGCACUAUCUCAUCUGAUCUCGGAAGCUAAGCAGGGCCGAACCUGGUUAGUACUUGAAUGGGAGAAGAAUAUACAGAUGGCAGAAAAUC
rnacentral:rRNA from 1 species